AUGAGCUGGAAUUUAUUGUGACAACAAUAAAUACAAAUAUUUUCAUAAGAAAUUCAUAAUGACAGAUGAUAAAUGAUGCAAUAAAUGCCUAAUCCGACAACCAAUGAAUGAAAAAUUUAAGUAGAUAUGAAACAGGUCAUGGCAGCGAAGCUUCACUUUUUUCCCCAAAUUGUGAAAUUUGUGACCAUUACAAGAGGGAAGGACUUCCCCGGCUCUUCUUCCCUCUCCAUCUUGUCAUCAUUUACACUUUUUUCCUCAAAUCCUCUGACUAAUUUUUAUAUUUCUUUCCUCAUUCCUCACACACAUACUACCAUUUCCUUUAUUCACGUAAAAACACACAGAAAACAAACAAGCAGCAGAUAUUUCAGUGUGUAAAGCUCACAGUUCACCAGCAUAACUCCUCCAUAACUACUUUUUUUGUGUUGAAUUAACUUAAAAGAUACAAAUUUUAAUUUACAUAAACUUUUUCAUCUUAUUUUAACCUGAAACAAUCAAGUUCAAUGCCGCCUUCGUGUCCUACGUCUGAUGCCAAUCUUCACCAGGGACAGAUCCUGUACUGACCAGGUGCUGUGGUGGUGCAGCGGGUUAAGCACAACUCACUUCAGGAGGCCUUAAUCCUCAACUCGGCCGUCACAGGUUCGAUUCCCGGCCUGGCGACCUUUGCCGCAUAUCGUCCUCCACCUUCCUGUCUAACUAUUCUCAAAUAAAGGCUGCCUGAGUCAAAAAAGAUCCUUUAUUAGUUCUCUAUUUGAAGUAAACUAAAAGAUUUGAGUAAGACUGAUUCAAUUUGUCAAGUUAAACCAACUUAAGUUAAGUUUGAUAAACUUAAUUGAAUUACUUGUUACCAGUUGAAGCAAUUCAAUUAAGGUCGUUCAACUAUUUUCCUUUUUCAGUGCAUGAACCAAUUGACCAAGUUACUUGAGUAACUUUUUGGUAAAAAUGUACUUUUAGAAGGAGUUUUACUACACUGUACUUUUUACUUUUAUUUUACUUGAGUAAAAUGUUUGGAUGCUUUACCCACUGUGAGUAACUUCACUGAGUAAAAUUUCAUUAGUUUCAUGUCGGGUCAAAAACAUAAAUUUUACUCCCAGUCAGAAUAAACAGUUAAUUUAGAAGAAGACAGUCAGGGGUACAGGUAAUUUUAAGCUUGACUGAAUGUGGAAUUAGCUCUAGAUUUGCAAUAUUACUGUUAAUAUUUUAAGGAAGUGAUAAUAACUCCACUGUAAUAAACAUUAGAUCACCACAAGACUUCUGUGCAGAAGAUGAUGUUGUCUCUGUUGGAAACAUUUACAAGGAGACCAACAACUGAGGCAUAUUAAACUGUUUAUGUGUAUCUGCCAGAUUCCUGUCUGCUGAGCAUCAAUCACUUCACAGCCAGCAUGCAGAUCAUCACAGCUCUUUUUCUGGAUUAUUCUGUUAGUUUUACAUCACAUGGACCAGGAUGCAAACCUUCCGAAAAGUACUUUUCUGUUGUCGGUGAAAAGAAAAACUAGCAAACGUUUUUGGGUAUCAUCAAAGUAUAUUUUUUCUUUUGCAAAGGUGAGAUGUUUGGUUGUGUUCUAAGCAGUGGUUUUGGCCUCGAAUUCUCCCAUUUAGGCCAUUAUUUGCCUUUAAUCUCUCGUUCUUAUUGUCAAAUUAAUAUUGAAUUUGAUAAAGUCAAGCAUAGCCAGGAGAGGUGUAGAUGUUUUUCUGUUAUUAUGUGAGAAAGUGUCCUGUUUGCCUGCAGAUCCUGGGUCAUUUCAGCACUGUUCCAUGUUUCCUCCAUUUGUGGAUAAUAGCUUCACUGUGGAUCUUCAUGUUGUGAGAUUCUAUAAUUUCACAUGUCUGAUGAAAUCACUUUAAAAAAAUGCAGUUUAUCAGUUAAUUCCUGUUUCACCAAGGAAGGCAAUAAAGUUUUUCUAUUUUCUAUUUCUCAGAUUGAGUUGUAAUAUUGCUAAUAAUCUAAAACAUGCAAGUGUGAUCAAAGGAAGUACAAGGUUUAUUAAAUAAAUAGAGAAUCACAAAAGCAGCACAAGUGAAACCAAGAAAAUCUCUAUAAACAGGUCAGCAAAGCAUAAAAGUAAAAUACGCUCUGGUGAAAAUGACCUUCAAAACCUCUAAAUGUUCAUGAAUGCAGCUCAGGAAUAUAUGCUUUAGUCUUUGUGUAGUUUACACAGACAAAAGCCAAGGUAGAGAAGCCUAUUUGGAGAGAUAAAAGUGGUGUUAUAGAAAGGGUGAGUAAAAAAACAACAACCCUGGAUCACCUUCAGAACAGCAUCGAAUCUAUUUUAGAAAAGAAUAGCAUUAAAGGGCAGACCAGGAAAAUUCAGCAAGAAGGACAUCAAUAAAAGCGGAAACCAAAGAACUAAAUGUAAACCUGAAGUCUCUGCAAAGUGCACAGCAGCAUAUCUGCUAAAAAGGCCGUGCACUACCCCAGAAAAGCCAACCUUUAUAGAGUUGAGGACAGAGCAGAAAAACCUCAGAAAGCGUGGCUGUAGUUCACAAGACAACAGGGAGAAAGGAAACCUCUGCUUAAGAUCUUGUGAUGAACUUAAACUGUGAAUAUGACUUGUGUUUUGAAUUCUUUUUCUAAAUUUGUGUGCAUGCAGCUACGAACCCUGAAUUCAAAAUAAUCCCCUCAAUAAGCUCACAAAAAAUCCCCCAUAUACUCUAGAAAUAUAUUUUUGCAGCUUCUUUGUUGUCAUGUUUUAUUUGGUGCUUUUGACUGUUUUCCUUUUGAAAACAUGACAGAUACUCAAAGAAAUCAUUCUGUUUGUUAUGUCUGUUGUGAGAAUAUGAAGGCAAGAAAAAAAAAUGUCGGAAAGCAAGAAAAUUGUAUUACUAAAUGGAAACAGAGAUCUGUUCUAGUCUCUUAGCAUCAACCUCAAAGCCCGAUGGCUACAAGGACAAAACGCAGCCUUGAUUUCUAAAAUAGUUAAUAAUACAGGAAGACCCUCCAUUUUUAGCUUUUAAAGGUGCAGUUUAACAGCAACCUACGCCUUCAAGAGAACGUUUCAGUUGAUUAAAAUCAAAACAAAAUGGAGGGUAACAGAGCAACAAUGAGCUCCAGAGAAACCGAUCAAGAAAUUUGCUCAGAAAAUAAACCCUUAAACCCAAAUUAAAAAUCCUUGAAAAUCAAGGGAGGCAAUGUAUAAAACUCUGAAUGCAAAUUCUUCUUCCCUUUAGAAUGAGUACAUGUGUGAAACAUUAAAGCAAAGAGAUUUUAACAACACAGUUUUUGUUUUAGUAUUCUCUGAGUUUCCCCUGAACUAACCUGAGGUAGAGCUCAUAACACCCAGCCCGUUUUUCCGUCCUCUCCUCCGUGAAGUCGGUGCAACGUAAAUUUAAUCAUCUUCAUCCGCCCACCAUGGCCAACUAGCACUCGCAGAUUUUUGCUACUUCCUGUCAAAGGGUGACACAAGCAAUGCAUCAUAUCACGAGCAGAAUAAGACGACGAAACAACAGAAGAAGAAACAGCAACAUUUCUUGUUUUGAUGAAACAUAGUGAAGAGAGAUCUGCUGUUUUCCCCAUGUGAAUAACAGGGACAACAGAGAACCUCAACUACUGUAAUAUUUUUUGUAUGAUAUAUCACUUUACAUCCCUUUCAGUUAUUUUCUUCAUCUCGUCUGAUUGGACAUUGUAUACGGCCAGAUCCAGAUGCAGUGUGGAAAGUCGGUUCUCCCUGGCUCUGCCUCUCUCAUGCUUCGCUCUAAGGUUAUCCUGCUAGACGACAAACUGACCACUUUUCCUCAAUAUGCAACUUUCUUCUUCUUCUACUCUCCAAUUAUUUUUAUUAUCUGUUAUUUCAGCUGUUAAAAUUAGAUUUUCUCUGUUUUUCUGUAAUCAUUCAAACUGCAUCUGGUCUGGACUUCCAUUUGAAUUUGGUACAUUCCUGGAAGAGUGCAUCGGCUGAGACAACACCAUCAACUAAACGUUUUGCUGGGCCCUGGCACGAUGACGGCUCAGAUUCUGGCGCUGUCGAUUCGCUCGUCUUUCCAAGACUAACUAAGAAGAGUCAGGCAUUCAUGAUGAAUCAUUUAGCACUUCUUGUAAUAAUUCAGUCCACUAGAACACAGAUGAAAUUAAGACCUUCUAAUGUCAUUCAUUCAUUAAAACAGGGAUACUAUUUGGAGCAGUUUAAAGAUUGGAACCCUGAGGUGAUAAGCCCUAGCUAAUAUGAUAAAACCCAAACUUCAGUUUCACAUAAACAUUUUAUCCCAGGACUUCCAGUUACUUGAUUAUCUCCACAUGCUGCAGAUUAAGCAAAGCAGCCACAGAGCAUCACUGAGCCACCACCAUGCUUCACUCCAGGUGUUGUGUUUGUUUCACACAUCUCAUAUUCUUCUUCAUACAUACUGCUGAUCCAUAGAUGUUUUGGCUUUGAUUCAUUACUUCACAAAACAAAGCCCCAACGCUGGACUGCUUAUAUUGUUGUGAUAUAAUUCUUGUGCAUCUGAGUCUGUUGUGCAUGUCUUGGAGUUUAGGCAUGCACAACAGCAGAUAUUGGAUGGCAAAUGAAAUGCUAAAUGAUUAAAAGAUAGUCAUUAAUAAAUAUUAAAAGACUGAAAGAUGAUGAACGAUCAAAUGUCCAUGUAAUAAUUUAAUAUUUUAACAUAUUUUGCAGAAAAGGGAAACGCUCUCAUUUUCACUUUCAAAACAUUUGUUUCUUCAUUUCUUUUUAUUUUUUCAAUCUGUCUUCUGGAAUUAGAAUUUGAUUAUUUUAAAUAUUACAUGCCUCAGAAACUGGGCUGUGUACGCUCAACUUUCCCUGAACCCUGAGAAAAACCCCAAAAGAAACAAAGUACCAUGAAACUGAUGUUGUGUUGUUGCAUCAUCUGGCUCACUAUCAUACCGGUGAGCGUCCUUUUUUUUUCUUCAGCUGCUUUCUAGAAAACUGAAGAAG